CCUGCAUCUUCUUCAGAGAGGCAUGAGGGGGAGAACAAAGACGGGCCUACCACCUCUUUGAUUUUGGAGAGCAAAGCCACCCAUCCACAGAACUUAACCAUUAUUAGUCUGUAAUGCCGGGUUGGUUCAGAAUAAAUCUGAUGUAGUCCAUGACUUGGAUGGAUGAAGGAGCUGACCUGGUUUGUUUUCCUGUACUACCUGUAAAGGUAAUGUGUGCCAUCAAGUUGAUUUCGACUCCUGGCACCCACAGAGCCCUGUGGUUUUCUACUUGAAGUAGCCAUGAAAAGCUGAAGUACUGACCUGAUUUUCUCCAAAAUAAACUCAGCAUGUGCAGAAUUAUGCUCCCAUAUCACCAUAUGUUGCUCCAAAAGACUCACUUGGUGCGUACAGAUAUUAAA